GACCCCAUCGUCUAGCCCGGCCCAGGACAAAGCCCUUUCAAGGCUUGAACGCGGGUUCGAAUCCCGCUGGGGUCG
rnacentral:tRNA from 1 species